rnacentral:lncRNA from 1 species
AUCAUCCUUGUGGAAUCCAUUGGAUGAAUUGCAGGGAUGAGGGGUGUUUACUGAGCAAACCAACGGAGAGGAGAGGCAGGCAGGGCACUGGGAUAGAGUCAGCUACGUAUUGACUGACACCUGCUUUUUUUUUUCUUUUUUUUGAGACGGAGUCUCGCUCUGUCGCCCAGGCUGGAGUGCAGUGGCACGAUCUCGGCUUACUGCAACCUCCACCUCCCAGGUUCAUGCC